CGCUCGUUCUUUGCACCUCCUCUUUUUAACUCUCUUUUAAAAAUAAACUUCGAAAAGCUAGGCGUCCCUUCCCAACACUAAAACUUAUACAUUCCAACCCAAAACCCUAGUUGGCUCUCUCUCUGUCUCCUUCCAUUCCUUUUUUCUUUUCCUUUUUAAUUCUUCCCUCUCCGCGUUCUGUUUUAGAUUCUGUUUUGUCUGCCUUAAUUUUUUAAUUAGUUUUUCCUUUCGUUUAAGAGGAUGGAAGAUAAAGAGGGUGUGGAUCCAGCGAGUGAAUUUACAUCCGAUUCGAGCUGGGCACUCGCUGGAGGACCUGACUCAGUCUCCGACAGCGUCAACUACUUCUUCGAUAGGGAGAGCAAUAUACUGAGUGAGUUCAACUGGAAUCUGCAACCUGAUCAUGCUGAACAGAUUGACCGGUUCGAUGAACUCGAACGGGCCGACACCAGGCCUUAUUUGGCGGGAAGCUUUAGCGGUUCGCAUAGCUGUGUUGCUGCUGCUGCUGCUGCUUGUGGUUCAGGUUCAGGUUCAGGGACAGCGUCGAGUCCUGCUGGCGGGUCGGCUGACGUGUCGACAUUGAUUCCAUCGGUGUCUUCGAGCUCCGGAGAGGAUCCGUCGGAGAAACAUACGGGAUCCGGCGGGAAACCGCCUGAGAUACCGAGUAAGGCCAGGAAGAAGGGGCAAAAGCGAAUUCGACAGCCACGUUUUGCAUUUAUGACCAAGAGUGAAGUUGAACAUCUUGAAGAUGGCUACCGGUGGCGGAAAUAUGGACAAAAAGCUGUUAAAAAUAGUCCAUUUCCUAGGAGCUACUACCGUUGCACAAACAGCAAAUGUACAGUUAAGAAGAGGGUAGAACGCUCCUCUGAAGAUCCCACCAUUGUCAUUACUACAUAUGAAGGUCAGCACUGUCAUCACAGUGUCGGAUUCCCCCGUGGUGGACUCAUCAGCCAUGAAGCUGCCUUUGCUGGCCGAUUCACUCCUUCAGUCUCACAAUUUUAUUACCCACACGGGGAAAUUCCUGCAAGCAUAAUACGUUCACAGCAAGUACCGAUAGAAAUAGUAGAAUCUCGUACACUGCCACAAACCACAAAUGAAGGGCUACUUGGGGAUAUUGUUCCUCCAGGAAUCCGUAACAGAUGAGGAAGAGAUCAUUUUGGUAUGUAUUACAUACUUUGACUCCUUGACGCACUUUGCCUGAAUUUCUUCUAUUUUGGUUCACUUAUUCUAUGUUUGUGUGCUUCCUUUUUGGUACCGUCUGCUUUUUGUAUGUGGACUGAGCUAGUUAUUGAAAGGUACUAAUCCGAUCUCCCACCAUGAGUGCUUCGUACAGCACUGUCGCUUCUUAAUUAGUCACUGACUAGUGGACCAUUGUGAUUGCUAUUUAAACCCACUUGCAUGAGAUAUAGAACACUUCUGUUGAGCAGUCCUAAUAUAUAAGAUUGAGUGCGACCCACGAUGUUGAUGGAUAUACUGAUGGAGUGAUAUAUUAGGUAAAGUCAGUGAUUGGUAUUAUAGCUGACAAGAUGGAAGUGGGCGAGGCCUUUACCUGAAAUCACACUAAAUCUGGUAUUGCUUCCAUGAGUGAGUUCAUUAUUCUCUCUCAUGUGCAGAUAUUUUUAUCUGGUAUUGCUUCAAAUUCUAAUAUAUUAUACGCAUGUGAAUAUGUUGAUUAGGUUUAAAACUUUAGGACAUGACAGCAUAUAUAAAUUUUAACCAUAGAAUAGUGUAAUAUCAUGUGAAAAGAACUGGAUCCUGUAUCUAUUCUAUACUGCCCUUUUUUCUUCUUUUUUUUUUGGGGGGGUCACUGUUUUCCCUUUAGCGAGGUGUUCAUGGAUUCAUAGAUAUACAUACAUACAUACGUGAGUGUGAAGUGAAGUGCAGGAAGGGAAUCGAAAAGAAAAAAGACGUAAAUUGGGCCACUUAUUCUUUUAUGGCUCAGUGGCGUGGAAUUCAAUGUUGCUUCAGAGUCGGUCUGUCAGCCGACAUUGCUUUUUAAAACCCCCUUCUCCUAGGCCCCUACUUUUCCACCUGGAUUUGACAUUGACCCUUUUUCCCCCCUAAAAAUUAUUUUAAUCUUUAUGGCACAGGAGUGUAGUUUUAAAAGCGUACAUAAAAACUUGUCUAAAUAAAUUAAAAUGAUAAUUUGAUCAAAUUUUGUUUUAAAGUUAUAACUAAAUUACAAUUAUUAAAAGUAAUAUAUUUAAAAUUUCUGUUUACACUCAUCGGCCUUAAUAAUAAUUAUUCAUGUGGUUGUGCUUUAGGUCCUUGAAGGACACCUGUUCACCAAAUUUCAUUUCACAUCUUUCAAUUUUGCUUGCUUAAAUUAUUUUCUUUUUUCUAAAUUAGUUUGCUAUGCCCUUUUACUAAGUAGGUAUCUAAUUCUUUUUGCCAACUACUUAAAUUAUACAUCAUUAUCAAAAUUACCCCAUCGUUAAUCAAAUUUAUUAACCCCUUUCACAAAGACUUUAUAAAUAUAUUCAUCUCUACCUACUUUUCAACAACAAAACUCAGGUUACGACUAGCUUCUUUUUAUUUUGACACUCUAAUUCAAAACCUAUGUAUUAUUUUUCUUAAAACAAUUUUUUCGUUAUUUCUAUAUAUUUUACAUAGAAUAGUUAAUGUUAAAUUAACCUCUAUAAUAAAUAAAUAUAUAAACCCAGAUAAAGCAUGAAAUCCAACCUGGUAGAAGUUGAGUAGAA